rnacentral:rRNA from 1 species
UACGUAGGGCGCAAGCGUUGUCCGGAAUUAUUGGGCGUAAAGAGCUCAUAGGCGGUCUGUCGCGUCCGUUGUGAAAACUCGAGGCUCAAACCUCGGGGCUUGCAGUGGAUACGGGCAGACUAGAGUGCGGCAGGGGAGACUGAAAUUCCUGGUGUAGCGGUGGAAUGCGCAGAUAUCAGGAGGAACACCGAUGGCGAAGGCAGGUCUCUGGGCCGCAACUGACGCUGGAGGAGCGAAAGCAUGGGGAGCAACA